rnacentral:rRNA from 1 species
GACGAACGCUGACGGUGUGCUUUAGACAUGCAAGUCGAGCGAGAAAGCCCUUCGGGGUUAGUAAAGCGGCGAACGGGUGAGUAACACGUGGGCAAUCUGCCCCUCGCAGGGGGACAACCGGGGGAAACUCCGGCUAAUACCCCGUAAGUUUCCAAAGUCGCAUGGCAUUGGAAAGAAAGGUAGCUUCGGCCAUCCGGCGAGGGAUGAGCCCGCGGUACAUUAGCUAGUUGGUGGGGUAACGCCUACCAAGGCGGCGANGUAUAGCUGGUCUGAGAGGAUGAUCAGCCACACUGGGACUGAGACACGGCCCAGACUCCUACGGGAGGCAGCAGUCGGGAAUCUUGCACAAUGGGCGAAAGCCUGAUGCAGCAACACCGUGUGAGCGAUGAAGGCCCUAGGGUCUAAAGCUCUGUUGUUGGGGACGAAGGGCGAAGGGUUAAUAGCCCCUAGCUUGACGGUACCCUUCGAGGAAGCCCCGGCUAACUACGUGCCAGCCGCCGCCGUAAC